rnacentral:rRNA from 1 species
CGUGUAGGCGGUCAGGUAAGUGGAAUGUGAAAUGCCCCGGCUCACCCGGGGACCGGCAUCCCAAACUGCCUGGCUUGAGUAUGGGAGAGGAUGGAGGAAUUCCUGGUGUAGCGGUGAAAUGCGUAGAUAUCAGGAGGAACACCGGUGGCGAAGGCGUCCAUCUGGCCCAAUACUGACGCUGAGGCGUGAAAGCUAGGGGAGCAAACGG